GAUGAGCGCUAGCGGCAGGCUUAACACAUGCAAGUCGAGGGGUAUAGGUUUUCGGACCUAGAGACCGGCGCACGGGUGCGUAACGCGUAUGCAAUCUACCUUUUACAGAGGGAUAGCCCAGAGAAAUUUGGAUUAAUACCUCAUAGUAUAAUGAUUCGGCAUCGAGACAUUAUUAAAGUUCCAACGGUAAAAGAUGAGCAUGCGUCCCAUUAGCUAGAUGGUAAGGUAACGGCUUACCAUGGCGACGAUGGGUAGGGGUCCUGAGAGGGAGAUCCCCCACACUGGUACUGAGACACGGACCAGACUCCUACGGGAGGCAGCAGUGAGGAAUAUUGGUCAAUGGGCGCAAGCCUGAACCAGCCAUGCCGCGUGCAGGAUGACGGUCCUAUGGAUUGUAAACUGCUUUUGUACAGGAAGAAACAGUUCUACGUGUAGAACCUUGACGGUACUGUGAGAAUAAGGAUCGGCUAACUCCGUGCCAGCCGCCGCAGUAACAC
rnacentral:rRNA from 1 species